AUGGAUUAUGCAGUUUAUUUCUUGUCUGUAAUUUUAGUCUGUGGCCAAGGAUCCUCUGGACAGAUCCUCAUGUCUCAGACCCCCGAAUAUAUGUUGGUGGCAUUGGGUGAUAGUCUGAGCUUUUCAUGUAAGGCCAGCAGCAACACUAACACCAAUGUGGACUGGUAUCAUCAAACAGAAGGGAAUCCUAUAAAGCUCAUUAUCUACAGCGCCAGUAGUCGUCCAGCAGGGAUUUCAGAUCGGAUCACUGGAUCUGGAUCAGGAACUUCAUUCACUCUAACAAUCAGAGACAUGAAAGCGGAAGACAUUGGAAUUUAUCACUGCAUGCAGAGACAAUCGUAUCCACUCACACAGUGA